UACGAAGGGGGCUAGCGUUGCUCGGAAUCAUUGGGCGUAAAGCGCGUGUAGGCGGUUCGGUAAGUCCGCUGUGAAAGUCGGGGGCUCAACCCUCGGAUGCCGGUGGAUACUGUCGAGCUUGAGUACGGAAGAGGCGAGUGGAAUUCCUGGUGUAGCGGUGAAAUGCGCAGAUAUCAGGAGGAACACCAAUUGCGAAGGCAGCUCGCUGGGACGUUACUGACGCUGAGACGCGAAAGCGUGGGGGAGCAAACA
rnacentral:rRNA from 1 species